GACGAACGCUGGCGGCGUGCUUAAUACAUGCAAGUCGAGCGAACAGACGCGGAGUUUGCUCCUUUCACGUUAGCCGCGGACGGGAGUGACACAUGAGUAUCCCCCACUUAUCUGUCUGGGAUCACCUCGAGACACCGGCGCUUACCCCGGAUAAUCUCUUGCACCGCGUGGUUCAUUGGUGAAUGUCGGCUUUUCUGUCUCUUCUCGCUGGUUCCGGGCUGCAUUAGCUAGUUGGUACGGUCACGGCUUACCAAGGCAAGUAUGCGUGGCCGAGCUGAGAGAGUGAUCGGCCACAUGGGAACGGAGACACGGACCAUGCUCCUACGAGAGGCAGCAGUAGGGAAUCUGCCGCAAUGGGCGAAAGCCUGGCGGAGCGGCGCCGCGUGUGUGAUGAAGGUCUUCGGAGCGGAAAGCUCUGUUACGAGGGAAGAACAGAUGUGGAAGGAACUAUAGACUGAGUGACGGUACCGAGUCAGAAAGCCACGGCUAACUACGUG
rnacentral:rRNA from 1 species